rnacentral:lncRNA from 1 species
GGGUCCCUGUUUUAUUAUGUUUACUAGGAGGGAGAUUAUUUUGUAAAUGUGAUUUUAAAUGUAGUAGAAUUCAGAUAAUGUCAGAGACUUGCUUUUUAACUUUAUAUAUUCCAAUAUAUUUAAUGUUAAUAUAUUCUAUAAUUCUAAGCAGUGGAGUACAUUUCUAGCUACUGUUGCAGCUCCAGCUGUCUGAUCUCGCAUUCUUGAAUCUGCAAACAAGUUUGAGACAUCAUGGUAAUUAUACAGAAUACAGAGUGAACAUGGACAAACAGAAAGAAAAAAAAAUUUACUUGCAAAACUUAAUUUUCUACUUUUGAAUGAUAUAAAUCUUACAGAUACCGGGAAGUAUAGUGGGACAUUCAUUUUUAUUUUCUGAUUAAAGUAACACAGCCAUGCUCUACAAGAUCACCUCUUGUGUUGCAUUUUAGUCAAAUUAACUUAGUAACCUACAU